rnacentral:snoRNA from 9 species
GCAGAUGCCGCCUUAGAGCUUUCGCCCUGCCAAGCUUGAGAGCUAAUGCCACUAAUGUUUUCCUUGGAUGUACGA